rnacentral:rRNA from 1 species
AUUGAACGCUGGCGGCAGGCUUAACACAUGCAAGUCGAACGAGUGGGGGACGGGUGUGAUAUGCUUGGGUAUCUGGCUUAUGGAGGGGUAUCUCGACGGGAAACUGUCGCUAACACCGUGUUCCCUAGUAUGAGCCCAUGUGGGAUUCGGUAGUGGGUGGGGUAAUGGCCUACCAAGGCGACGAUCUCUAGCUGGUCUGAGAGGAUGACCAGCCACACCGGGACUGAGACACGGCCCAGAAUCCUACGGGAGGCAGCAGUGGGGAAUAUUGCGCAAUGGGGGCAACCUGACGCAGCCAUGCCGCGUGAAUGAAGAAGGCCCUCGGGUUGUAAAGUACUUUCAGUCACGAGGCGUUAAUGACAGAAGAAGCACCGGCUAACUCCGUGCCAGCAGCCGCGGUAAUUC